GACGAACGCUGGCGGCGUGCUUAACACAUGCAAGUCGAGCGGUAAGGCCCUUUCGGGGGUACGACGAGCGGCGAACGGGUGAGUAACACGUGGGUGACCUGCCCUCAGCUCUGGGAUAAGCCUGGGAAACCGGGUCUAAUACUGGAUAUGACUCCAUGACGCAUGUUGUGGGGUGGAAAGCCUUGUGCGGCUGAGGAUGGGCCCGCGGCCUAUCAGCUUGUUGGGUGGGGGGA
rnacentral:rRNA from 1 species